GACGGGGCCGCACAAGCGUGGAGUAUGUGGUUUAAUUCGAUGCAACGCGAAGAACUACCUGGUCUUGACAUCCCGGAGACCCUUAGGAAACUAGGGGGUGCCUUCCAUCUGGAAGAAUCUGGAGACAGGUGCUGCAUGGCUGUCGUCAGCUCGUGUCGUGAGAUGUUGGGUUAAGUCCCGCAACGAGCGCAACCCUUGCCUUUAGUUGCCAGCAGUUCGGCUGGGCACUCUAAAGGGACUGCCGGUGUUAAACCGGAGGAAGGUGGGGGAUGACGUCAAGUCCUCAUGGCCUUUAUGACCAGGGCUACACACGUACUACAAUGGCCGAUACAAAGGGCAGCGACACUGCGAGGUGAAGCCAAUCCCGUAAAAUCGGUCUCAGUCCGGAUUGGAGUCUGCAACUCGACUCCAUGAAGUUGGAAUCGCUAGUAAUCGUGGAUCAGCAUGCCACGGUGAAUACGUUCCCGGGCCUU
rnacentral:rRNA from 1 species